rnacentral:rRNA from 1 species
GAUGAACGCUGGCGGCGUGCCUAAUACAUGCAAGUCGAGCGAACAGACGAGGAGCUUGCUCCUUUGACGUUAGCGGCGGACGGGUGAGUAACACGUAGGUAACCUACCUAUAAGACUGGGAUAACUUCGGGAAACCGGAGCUAAUACCGGAUAAUAUUUCGAACCGCAUGGUUCGAUAGUGAAAGAUGGCUUUGCUAUCACUUAUAGAUGGACCUGCGCCGUAUUAGCUAGUUGGUAAGGUAACGGCUUACCAAGGCAACGAUACGUAGCCGACCUGAGAGGGUGAUCGGCCACACUGGAACGGAGACACGGUCCAGACUCCUACGGGAGGCAGCAGUAGGGAAUCUUCCGCAAUGGGCGAAAGCCUGACGGAGCAACGCCGCGUGAGUGAUGAAGGUCUUCGGAUCGGAAAACUCUGUUAUUAGGGAAGAACAAACGUGUAAGUAACUGUGCACGUCUUGACGGUACCUAAUCAGAAAGCCACGGCUAACUACGUG